GCCGUCCGAGCCCGAAAGCGCCUGCGCGGAGUCGACGCGGGCCCGCCUGGGACGGGCCGGCAUGGCGUUCCGGCAGGCGCUGCAGCUGGCGGCCUGCGGCCUGGCCGGGGGCUCGGCCGCCGUGUUCUUCUCGGCGGUGGCAGUGGGGAAGCCCCGGGCGGGCGGGGACGCGGAGCUGCGCGUGGUCGAGCCGCCGGCGUGGGCGGGGGCCGCGCGCCCCGGGCCCGGCGUCUGGGACUCCAACUGGGACAGGAGAGAACCGCCGUCCCUGGUCAACCUGCGGAAGAGGAACCUGGAGCCCGGAGAAGAAGAGCUGGCGUCCAGGCUGGACCACUACAAGGCCAAGGCCACACGGCACAUCUUCCUCAUUAGGCACUCCCAGUACCACGUGGACGCCUCCCUGGAGAAGGACCGCACGCUGACGCCCCUGGGUCGUGAGCAGGCUGAACUAACCGGUCUCCGACUUGCAAGUUUGGGGUUGAAGUUUAAUAAAAUCGUCCAUUCCUCCAUGACCCGUGCAAUAGAAACCACUGACAUCAUCAGCAAACACCUGCCAGGCGUCUGCAAGGUCAGCACAGACCUGCUGAGGGAAGGCGCCCCCAUCGAGCCUGACCCCCCCGUGUCUCACUGGAAGCCGGAGGCUGUGCAGUAUUACGAGGACGGGGCGCGGAUCGAGGCCGCCUUCCGGAACUACAUCCACCGGGCGGACGCCAAGCAGCAGGAGGACAGCUACGAGAUCUUCAUCUGCCACGCCAACGUCAUCCGCUAUAUCGUGUGCAGGGCGCUGCAGUUCCCUCCAGAAGGCUGGCUCCGCCUUUCCCUCAACAACGGCAGCAUUACCCACCUGGUAGUCCGGCCAGAUGGCCGAGUGGCUCUCAGGACCCUCGGGGACACGGGGUUCAUGCCUCCUGACAAGAUCUCCCGCUCCUGAGGGCCGCCUCGAGGCCCCGCUCUCCUUCUCAGCCCCCUGCCGGCCUGGCGUGGGUGCCACCGAGACCGUGGGCUCCUCCCCUGCCCCCCACCGGCCGCGCCCCGGGGCCAACGCUCCAGGGCUCCAGGGCUCCGGGGCUCCGGGGCUCCGGGGCGCGGCAGCCGGAGAGAAGGCGGCUCCACGUUGCGGCGCUGCAGCACUGAGCUGCUGGCCCAGGAUGGAGAAGGGAAGCGCUCAGGUCAGAUCAGCUUCGUCUCUCGCAGUGUCUCUGCCUCACUCUCGUCCACCAGGAUGAGCCCGUGGGGUCUAAGCAGGCCUGUUUCAGGGACUGGACGAGGCCCGCAGAUGCCGUCCCCGCAGGGGCCGCGGCAGACACCGCAGCGCGCCGUCCGUCAGCAGAGCCCGUCAGGCAGGAGGAGGAGGGUGCCCGUGCUUCUUCCAUUCGUAACUUAUUUCGCUGCUUACACUCUUUUUUCAUUGCCUAGAACUCUUUGUCACUUAAGUUUCUAUUAAUUGAAGAUUUUCCUCAUCUGGUUCUUGCUUUGAAAACCCAUUUCUCACUCCCGAGUCACACAGCCCUGCCGCUGUUGGAUCUGAACUCACGUGUGUUGCUAGGCCUUUCUGGACACAGAGGAGGGGCACCUUGGCAGGAAACGGGAAGCCUGUGCAGCACGACCAACAGCAGCCCCACACUUGCUGAGAUAGUUUCAGCAGAAAGCUCUCUUCCCCAGUCUUUUGUGCACCCUGCGCUGACAGUUUUGCAGGGUGUCUGCCCACCAGGGGCCUCAGUGAGAGGCCCUGACCCAGGACAGUGAGCUUGGUAAGUAAAAGCAGCAAGCACACACCGUUCUGUCGAAAUAGUUCCGACAAGUUAGCCAGGGGCUGUGCUAAUGUCGGAGACCAGAAAAGCCAGAGGCGGCACCAGGUGUCUGGCCUCGGGCGCUGUGAGGCCCCGCAGCUGAGCCCUGGGCCCCCGGCCCCUCGGGCUUGCGCGGCCACCCUGCUGUCCUGUCUGCAGACCUGGCUUUUCCAUGGUGUGUCCCCCCUUUACACUUGACCUUUGAGAAGCAGGGCAGCAUUUUAGAAACAGGAAAGGAGCCCAGGAGCGGGACAGUGGUGUUCGGAUGGGGUCAGUUAGUUACAGGGGCCCAGGGAUGUCACACUGGAAACCGCCCCGAGGUAGGAUAGAUGACCGAGAACUUCUGAAACAUCGGGAACGUCGUCCUAAGUUUGACUAAAAUGGAAAACCACGCCAAGAGCCCGUGUAACAGGAGGGAUCCUGAACUGACAACAGUAGGAACAGUAGUGGUUCCUACUGACUGUGUUGCUGUUUGUUCCAAAAUAUUUUCUUUCUUUUGAGACGGUUGAGGAAGGAGCCCGAGGGCACGUGUAAGCAGAGACCCCUCCCUGCGGGCCUCCACGCACGCACAGACCUGCGCAGUUCCAGCAGCCUGGGGGACAAACCCGGCUGGGGACGCCUGGCGAGGCGGUCACCCCACAGGUGUUCCCUCUGAGCUGCGAAUGCUUCUGGACACAUCCAAAGACUAUCCCAGAGGAUCCCUCUGGAUCCAGGAGCGGGGAACCUUCUGGAGCUGCGCACACUGCAGCCCCUGGCACCUCAGCCACCACCCGCUGCAUCAGGGGGUUCCCGGCGCCUCUUCCCAACUGAAGAAACUACACACUGAUUGUCAGUGUCACAGAAAGGCUCCCCAUUUCCCAGGGCAGUUAUAAAAUAUCUGACAGUUUAACUGAUGCCAAGAUGUUUCACAACCGUGUUAGGAAAGAAAGGGCCCCAAACAGCAAAUAAACCACGCUCAGAUUAAUGUUCUGUUUAACCAAAAUAA